ensembl:lncRNA
GUUUGAAUAAACAUUGUAGUUAAUUCUCUCAGUUUUAUAUUGUUCAUGUAAUGUUAGCUUUUAACAUGAAACUGUUGCUGAUGUGGAGUUACUGCUGCAUCUUCCCAAUGAAAUGGUAGUGUAACAUUUCCCUCCCUUUUCCCCCAAAAGUCAUGACAGAAGAAGGAACUUUAUAGGAACUGUAUGAGAUGCUUUUCCAGUCUGCUUGAUUUUUGUUGCAUUAGUUUAUGGUCACAGAAAUGUUGAGGUCUAUCCCGAUAGGAUCUCUUCUGUAGGUUCAUGUCGUUGGAAACGCCUCACAGAACAAACUUGUGGUUUAGUUUUACCCUUGGAGCUACCUGUUAGCUCUGUGGGAUAGAACUACAAGACAAAUCUUCAUGUACCAUUUCAGGAAUGGAAGUAACAUGUCAUGUUCUCCCUCAGGUACUGGCUCAUGCAUUUGAUAUAAAUGGAAAAAAAAAGAUUCAAAUGGAAAAGCUUGGUAAGAGUGAAAAAGAGCAUGUUCUGAGAUUUAAAAUGUAACUAACAUGUUUAAUUGUGUGGGUUGAACUUGCUCUUCAGCCAGAUGUCUGUGAAGGUACCAGACCUCUUAGUGGCUUUUUUUUUUCCUGGUUGGCCUGAAGCAGACUCUUCCCACUUCAAUCUGAAAGUGACUUUCUGUUCCUUGUGGUGGCUAUAGGUUUAAAUUAAGAAGUCCAGCCCUCUGAUGUCUGUCCAGUCUUAAAGUAAUUCAGUGAGCCUGCCGGAUUUUUGCUCUAUGUAAUUCAGCAAUACUGCUUUUCUCUUGCUAAGCUUCAAAGUAGCUGUUAAGCUUCAAAGUAGCUGAGCAUCUCAGGCAGUUUACUAGUACAGUGUCAGAAGUCCUGGGUUGUAUGGAGCAUUGUGCUAUUCUAUAGAACAUAGCUUAAAGUAAAACGCAGACAAUGCUUCUAUAAGCCCUUUGUGCUGGGAAUAUAAAUACUUGAAAGAAUUACGAGGCUGCUGAAAUUGAUGGAAUUUCUUUUCCCUCUUCGUUGCAUGGCAACUUCUGUGAAAUUGGUACUUCAGCUUAUCGCUGCCUGGUGUAUGGACAGCUUGAACCUUAACGUGCAUUUGUUGACUGAGGACUGCUGCGUCUGUUGCACUGAAUGGUAUCUGCACCCAGCAGCGUUCUUCUGAUGGGGUGUUCAAAAACCAGUGCUACAGUAAUUCAGCAUUUGGCAUCGUUGGUUUUCACUCUGCAGUGGUUGUUAAACCUGGUAUUCUUGCUGAUACAGGUGCUGCCCUCUUCAAGGAUUUGAGCGCAGUCCUUUUAUGUCGGGUAGGACUUGUCAGUGUGAGCUGCCCACUGGUUCUCCCUCGUGCUCAGUUUGUUUCUUUAAACAGGUGCCUUGGGAUACACAACAGUCAGUUGGCUGUGGAAGAGGAAACAAAGUGUUGGACAGAGUCUGCUGCUGUCACUGAAUGGCAGGGGGUGAGAAGUUGUACCUGAGUGCUGCCACAGUAAGUCUGUAGGUCCUGAUGUGAUGUUGCUGCAAGUCUCUUGCAAGAAAGAAAAGGACAGCUCUUAAAUGCUCUUAAACACUCCUAUUUCUUGUAAUAAUUGAGAAUGUUAAAUAUUUUAACUUCACUGCCCUGUAAGUUGAAUUAGUGGAUCAAGGUGUGGUUGUACUAGGAAAGGGUUAUCAACUGUGUUCCAACUGUUCAAGUGUGGAGAGGGGGCUGUUUACUUCAUACAGAAUGUAACAUUCAAAUAAAACUGAUUCCUGAAAGAAGCAGCUGCAGCCAGGGAAUUAUUUUGUACUGCUACACUGCAAGCCAACACAGGUGUAAAGCUAAAGCAGGGAUUUAGCUUUAGCUAAAUCUUAAAUGCUAAAGCCUCUAGAAAAACAGACAGUAAAGGUGAGAGAGCCUGCACACUGCAACUAGCCCUCUUCCUUCAGCUCUUUGUCCUGUACUGUUUGUUUAGGGGGAGUUGUAACAGUUUGGGUCUCUUCAGCAAUUGCAGUACCUCUAACUACAGUGGGGACUGAAAUGUAUGUUUAAUUAUUCUAUGCUACCUCAGAACUGCUGUAUUUUAAAAUUGGGCAGACCUGAUGGAAAUGCAGAUUCAUGGAUUUCAGGUGUUCUACCUACUGCUACAACAAUCAGCCUUGUGUUCUAAGCUACAGUGUUAACUUGUGCUCUUCUGCCCUUAUUCUAUGACAGUAUUUGCUUUCUGC